rnacentral:rRNA from 1 species
UACGGGGGGAGCAAGCGUUGUUCGGAAUUACUGGGCGUAAAGGGCUCGUAGGCGGCCAACUAAGUCGGACGUGAAAUCCCUCGGCUUAACCGGGGAACUGCGUCCGAUACUGGAUGGCUUGAGUUUGGGAGAGGGAUGCGGAAUUCCAGGUGUAGCGGUGAAAUGCGCAGAUAUCAGGAGGAACACCGGUGGCGAAGGCGGGUCUCUGGGCCGAUACUGACGCUGAGGAGCGAAAGCGUGGGGAGCGAACAGG